GAUGAACGCUGGCGGCGUGCUUAACACAUGCAAGUCGAACGGAAAGGCCCAAGCUUGCUUGGGUACUCGAGUGGCGAACGGGUGAGUAACACGUGGGUGAUCUGCCCUGCACUUCGGGAUAAGCCUGGGAAACUGGGUCUAAUACCGGAUAGGACCACUUCUUGGAUGUUGUGGUGGAAAGUUUUUUCGGUGUGGGAUGAGCUCGCGGCCUAUCAGCUUGUUGGUGGGGUAAUGGCCUACCAAGGCGUCGCCGGGUAGCCGACCUGAGAGGGUGUACGGCGACAUUGGGACUGAGAGACGGCCCAGACUCCUACGGGAGGCAGCAGUGGGGAAUAUUGCACAAUGGGCGCAAGGCUGAUGCAGCGACGCCGCGGGGGGGAUGACGGCCUUCGGGUUGUAAACUCCUUUCGCUAGGGACGAAGCGUUUUGUGACGGUACCUGGAGAAGAAGCACCGGCUAACUACGUG
rnacentral:rRNA from 1 species